GCUCAACCGAAGAAGUGCAUUGGAAACUGGGAGACUUGAGUGCAGAAGAGGACAGUGGAACUCCAUGUGUAGGGAAAUGCGUAGAUAUAUGGAAGAACACCAGUGGCGAAGGCGGCUGUCUGGUCUGCAACUGACGCUGAGGCUCGAAAGCAUGGGUAGCGAACAGGAUUAGAUACC
rnacentral:rRNA from 1 species